GACGAACGCUGGCGGCGUGCUUAACACAUGCAAGUCGAACGGAAAGGCCCUGCUUUUGUGGGGUGCUCGAGUGGCGAACGGGUGAGUAACACGUGAGUAACCUGCCCUUGACUUUGGGAUAACUUCAGGAAACUGGGGCUAAUACCGGAUAGGAGCUCCUGCUGCAUGGUGGGGGUUGGAAAGUUUCGGCGGUUGGGGAUGGACUCGCGGCUUAUCAGCUUGUUGGUGGGGUAGUGGCUUACCAAGGCUUUGACGGGUAGCCGGCCUGAGAGGGUGACCGGCCACAUUGGGACUGAGAUACGGCCCAGACUCCUACGGGAGGCAGCAGUGGGGAAUAUUGCACAAUGGGCAGAAGCCUGAUGCAGCGACGCCGCGUGCGGGAUGACGGCCUUCGGGUUGUAAACAGCUUUAGCCUGUGACGAAGCGUGAGUGACGGUAAUGGGUAAAGAAGCACCGGCUAACUACGUG
rnacentral:rRNA from 1 species